UACGUAGGUGGCAAGCGUUGUCCGGAAUUAUUGGGCGUAAAGCGCGCGCAGGUGGUUCCUUAAGUCUGAUGUGAAAGCCCCCGGCUCAACCGGGGAGGGUCAUUGGAAACUGGGGAACUUGAGUGCAGAAGAGGAAAGUGGAAUUCCACGUGUAGCGGUGAAAUGCGUAGAGAUGUGGAGGAACACCAGUGGCGAAGGCGACUUUCUGGUCUGCAACUGACACUGAGGCGCGAAAGCGUGGGGAGCGAACAGG
rnacentral:rRNA from 1 species